UGGCGGAUGGCGAAAUUGGUAAACGCACUUGACAAAAAACCUUAAUUUAUCACCUUGCCUGAAAGGGCCGAAGAGUUGAGGGUUAUCGUAAUCUAGCAGCCGCAAGGUUUUGCAGGUUCAAAUCCUGCUCCGCCAC
rnacentral:tRNA from 4 species